AAACAGAAGACGGUAUUAAAUUGCCGUUUGAAACAAAACGAUCUGAACUCUGAACGCUCUCUUCUUUUGUAGAGUUCUUUACCAAAUGAAAUAACUGAAAUAAAUUUCGUACUUUCCGCCUCCAACAAGAAUUGCACACAUGAUCUGAUAAGUGAGACAAUUUAUUUAUAACAAUGGCAACAGCGAAGCACACAUAAUAAAUGCUAAUGUGGUCGCAGGACUUCCCUCACAAUUUGAAGUUUGAGACUGGUUUUCUGUUGAAAUUCGUCGUAAUUUCCCUGUUCCGAUUUUAGUUGAAAAUGAGCACUUGCAAAUUUGG